rnacentral:lncRNA from 1 species
CGCCUGUCCCCACCUCUCAGUGUUGACACUGCCUGUCCUGGUGGAGGUACUGAACAGCUGCCUAUUUUUGCCUAUCACUUGCAGUAAUGGGAAGACAGCCUGGAUUCUGAAAAGCCCAGAUUCUGCAAUUGAAGAGAAUCAUACAUACCUGACUGGCAUGGGGCUAGAGAUUUUUCCACCAAAACCCACUGUGAUCAUGUUUAUUUCAUUUCAUCCAGUAGACUGGACUCUCUUCAUAUGCACUUUUUUCAUCUCCAGCUUCAGGCAGAUUAACUCAGCAAACUUGGAAGCCAGAUGAU